GGCUGGUCUGAAGGUAGUGAGUUAAUCUCAGUUGAUGGUUCACAGGUACAGAUAGAACUCCUUGUUCUACUCUGUCCCCCCUUCUCCCUACUGCACCUAACUGUCUUUUU
ensembl:misc_RNA Y_RNA Y RNA